AGCUGACACAACACACCACUACAUUUUUUUUAUAUUUUCUUUUCAGGAAAAGACGGAAGAUGCUGCAGAUUCUGGUGGAAAAUUGGCAAGAAUGUGACUACAGUUAGCUAUUGGGUAGGCGCUGAUGUAAUUUCUGGAGUUGGACAUGUGCAAGAUUAAACUUCUGGAGGAUCUUGAACUACAAACUGGCCUUAGAUUUCGUUUAGGAUCCAACACUAAUCCAACACCUGAGGAAAGUGAAGUGGAAGAUCGAGAACCUAGUGAAAGGUCAGGUUAUUAAGACUUCAAGUGUCCCUGAGGAGGACGAACUGAAGGGACGAAAACACCAAUUAGAAGCCAAAUUCAGUGGAAUUCAUGGGAAUUGGCAAGUAUUUGUUGCAACAACAAGAACAACAACAAUAGAGAAGCAAAUGAGAGCAGUGAAGCAGAUAAUCCGGGUCCCUCAACCUCGAUUACUGGCUGGCUGCUGUGAGUGACAGGAUUCUUGCGAGCUGAUUGGUUGCAGGAAUGGGUUUUCGGUCCGUCCGUAUUUCAGUCCGUUAGAGUAUUCACGGCAACCUAAAUUCAAACUUAUCGCGUUUUUUUUUAAUUAAUAUUUGGCCUGAGCUCAAACCUAAUCGCGCACGUUUGGCUUAAUCACAAACGGGAUGACGACGAAUAAAAAAAACGACAGGAAAUUAUUUAAAAGUAGUAUUUAGAAGUCCUGUUCGUUUGGUCGUCCGGGUGAAUGGUAAGUACUACGGUCGAAAACCUGAUACCUGAGCACCACAGGAUUGCUGGUGCUGGUCUGCCAAAAGAGUCCCACGAUGGAUGGAGCUGGCGAUGGCGUGGCUUAUUUGCUGUUGGCUUAGUUUCAAAUUUCUGUAUUGUUUAGUUUCAAGUUUAAUUUCCUUUAGUUUUAAGUUCAACUUUAUUUAGUUUAAAAUUGUAAACUUUAAAAUUUUUAAGCACAGGGUAUACAGAGGCGUCACAAGCAAAAAACUAUUUCCCUCUUUUUCGCACAAAACGAAUUCAAUAAUUUUUUUUAG